rnacentral:lncRNA from 1 species
UAUGGGGUUGAGGUGCAAUAGGCGUGACACCUCCCCAGUUAGAAUUGACAUUUUCGUGCAGAGAAAAUGUUAAAUCGGAGUGAAUGCAAUUUCGUCUGACGGUUGUGUUUCCUCAGUGUUUUGUGUUUGUUGACAAGUGUUAGUGACUGAGUAUCGGCGUAUUUUUAAAAAAUGAUGGCUUUCCACUGUGCGCUGCGAAUUGAGUCAUGAGUAUCAUCUAGUGAUUCGAUUACGUCUGUUUCAGGACUAGCAAGUGAGAAGAGAUAUUUAUAAUGUCCGAGAAGUGGUUUCCAGGGAUGUCGAAUGGACUGCGUAACCCUAAUGUCACAUGUGGCUACGUCGGAGGACUUCGACUCUAUGACUAAUUGGACUUCGCAUGGAGAAUUGUCAGACACCUUGUAGAGUGGGUAAUUCUCUUUACAAAUGUCUAACGGUGUUGGAAAUUCUAUCGAUGGGUUGUUUUCUGCAAUUUCUUUAACAGCUUUCAAGAAAUGAGCCAUAGUAAAUAAAUGAGGGUGGAUUAGACCUCGUUUGGCAAAUAAUAUUCCAUCGAUCCGGCUUGAAAGCAAGUCUAAGUGGGGGCUGAGUGUGCAGUUGUCCGGAGGAAGUCUGCAUUUAGUCCUUGCUGACUGUAAGGAGUUUUGGAGCCUUUCCUUGGCAUCUUGGAUUUCGGGAAGAUUGACGUAAUGCAGAAUUUGGCAGAUUCCCAUAGUGCUACGUUUGCUAACUUUAUACGAUCUUUAUGUACUAUUUUGCAUUUUCGAUCACUAAUUCUAAUCUUAAUAUUAUUAUUAUCUGGGAUGUCCAUAAUUUGAAAGGGUCCGGUAUAUUCGUCGUCGAGCUUGGAUUUUCGGUUCCCUUUUAAAAGGUUAUGAGAUGCGUGGUCACGCAAUUCUUUCAAGGAGAGCACUGGUAAAAUUGGUGCCUUGGUCGGUCAAUGUCGCCUUUGGACAGCCGAAUUGGCAAAUUACGUUUUGGGAGAAUGCAUCAACGAUUUCGACGGAAGUUGCAUCUUUCAAUGGGAUUGCUAAUGAAUAUUUAAUCUAUUUCUACAAUUGUCAUAAGUGUGACGCGGUUUAUUGCAAAAGGAACAGACACUGGAUUGCCAUCGAGUGGCACGGAUUUGUGCGUUACAGUCUUUCGCGAAAUGCCCUUCCUUAUUGCAAUUCUGGUAUACGACGGGAGAGGCCAUUGAAUUUUGACAUUGUGUUAAUUUUUUACGGCGAGCAAUUUCGGCCUCGGCUGUACGAGCGAGUUCUAUUGCAGCUUCUAGAGACAACCGCUGUCACCAAGAAUCUUGUCACGUCCCGAGCGGCAGGAACGUUAAGUUGUGGGAAUUCCGCCGACAAAGGAUGAAAAUCCACUUUCUCGCGUCGGACGUUAUUUCGGAGUCACCUUUAAGUCUUUGUAUUGAAUUAAUUAAAGAUUGUCGAAUGAAUCUUAAAGUUUGUAAUAAAGGGACACAAUGUCGAACUGUUCA